UUUUAAUUUUUUCUGGGACGCCUUCCUACAACAUCGUAGGAAGGCGUCCCAGAAAAAAAUUAAAAUAGCCUGACGUUGCAGGAAGGCGUCCCAGAAAAAAAUUAAAAAU
rnacentral:sRNA from 1 species